rnacentral:rRNA from 1 species
GAGUUUGAUCCUGGCUCAGAACGAACGUUGGCGGCAUGGAUUAGGCAUGCAAGUCGCGGGGUCCCAGCAAUGGGAGACCGGCGUAAGGGGCAGUAAGGCGUGGGUACCUACCCCGGGGUCCGGGAUAGCCGCCAGAGAUGGCGGGUAAUACCGGAUGACCUCGAGAGAGCAAAGGUCCGCCGCCCCGGGAGGGGCCCACGUGAUAUUAGCUAGUUGGCGGGGUAACGGCCCACCAAGGCGACGAUGUCUAGCGGGUGUGAGAGCACGACCCGCGCCACUCGCACUGAGACACUGGCGAGACACCUACGGGUGGCUGCAGUCGAGGAUCUUCGGCAAUGGGGGCAACCCUGACCGAGCGAUGCCGCGUGCGCGAUGAAGGCCUUCGGGUUGUAAAGCACUGUCGAGGGGGAGAAAAGCGAAAGCUUGAUCUAUCCCUGGAGGAAGCACGGGCUAAGUUCGUGCCAGCAGCCGCGGUA